rnacentral:rRNA from 1 species
UACGUAUGGAGCAAGCGUUAUCCGGAUUUACUGGGUGUAAAGGGUGCGUAGGUGGCAGUGCAAGUCAGAUGUGAAAGGUCGGGGCUCAACCCCGGAGUUGCAUUUGAAACUGCUCGGCUAGAGUACAGGAGAGGCAGGCGGAAUUCCUAGUGUAGCGGUGAAAUGCGUAGAUAUUAGGAGGAACACCAGUGGCGAAGGCGGCCUGCUGGACUGUUACUGACACUGAGGCACGAAAGCGUGGGGAGCAAACAGG